rnacentral:rRNA from 1 species
GUAAUGGCUUACCAAGGCGACGACGGGUAGCCGGCCUGAGAGGGUGACCGGCCACACUGGGACUGAGACACGGCCCAGACUCCUACGGGAGGCAGCAGUGGGGAAUAUUGCACAAUGGGCGCAAGCCUGAUGCAGCGACGCCGCGUGAGGGAUGACGGCCUUCGGGUUGUAAACCUCUUUCAGUAGGGAAGAAGCGUAAGUGACGGUACCUGCAGAAGAAGCGCCGGCUAACUACGUGCCAGCAGCCGCGGUAAUACGUAGGGCGCAAGCGUUAUCCGGAAUUAUUGGGCGUAAAGAGCUCGUAGGCGGUUUGUCGCGUCUGCCGUGAAAGUCCGGGGCUCAACUCCGGAUCUGCGGUGGGUACGGGCAGACUAGAGUGAUGUAGGGGAGACUGGAAUUCCUGGUGUAGCGGUGAAAUGCGCAGAUAUCAGGAGGAACACCGAUGGCGAAGGCAGGUCUCUGGGCAUUAACUGACGCUGAGGAGCGAAAGCAUGGGGAGCGAACAGGAUUAGAUACCCUGGUAGUCCAUGCCGUAAACGUUGGGCACUAGGUGUGGGGGACAUUCCACGUUUUCCGCGCCGUAGCUAACGCAUUAAGUGCCCCGCCUGGGGAGUACGGCCGCAAGGCUAAAACUCAAAGGAAUUGACGGGGGCCCGCACAAGCGGCGGAGCAUGCGGAUUAAUUCGAUGCAACGCGAAGAACCUUACCAAGGCUUGACAUGAACCGGUAAUACCUGGAGACAGGUGCCCCGCUUGCGGUCGGUUUACAGGUGGUGCAUGGUUGUCGUCAGCUCGUGUCGUGAGAUGUUGGGUUAAGUCCCGCAACGAGCGCAACCCUCGUUCUAUGUUGCCAGCACGUGAUGGUGGGGACUCAUAGGAGACUGCCGGGGUCAACUCGGAGGAAGGUGGGGACGACGUCAAAUCAUCAUGCCCCUUAUGUCUUGGGCUUCACGCAUGCUACAAUGGCCGGUACAAAGGGUUGCGAUACUGUGAGGUGGAGCUAAUCCCAAAAAGCCGGUCUCAGUUCGGAUUGGGGUCUGCAACUCGACCCCAUGA